rnacentral:misc_RNA from 1 species
AACGCACAUUGCGCCCCUUGGUAUUCCGGGGGGCAUGCCUGUUCGAGCGUCAUUUCAACCCUCAAGCCUCGCUUGGUCUUGGGCGCUGCCGGCGACGGCUAGCCCUAAAAUCAGUGGCAGUGCCAGUGGGCUCUAUGCGUAGUAAUCAUACCCUCGCUACUGAGACCUGCUGUGCGCGCGCCAGCAACCCCUAAUUUUCUAUGGUUGACCUCGGAUCAGGUAGGGAUACCCGCUGAACUUAA